ACAGGCCGCUGCUAGAAGACCCAAAGCAUUUUGAGCUUGAAAUAUCUCAGUCAUGUCGAAAAUCACAAUUUUGGAAACAAAAUUCACUCAAAUCUCUCUCCAUUUUUGGCUCAAUUUUCUAUUCGAAAACCCUAACUAAAUCUUUCAGUUGUGACAUUUCCUUAUUGCCAGGAGAAAUGGAAACCGUAGUAGUGGAGUUGGAAUUAGGAUUUCGAUUGAUGGAACUCGGAGGAUUGAUCUGGAAGUAUUAUUGGAUGCGGCUUGGUGUUAAUCAUUCACAAGACAUCUUUGCAGCUGAAUGAGGUUUGCAGCCUUGAUGAUUUGAAGUAGCGGAUGAGAGUGUAUUUGAGUUUGGGUUGCUCCAAAAAUUUAGAUGAGGGCUUUGAGGGGAGAUUAUAGAUGAAGGCACAUUGUCCAACAUGACUCCAAAUUGGAUUAUGUAUUGUUUUUGGUGGUGAUUCCUUACUAGUUGCUGGAAAUGUGCUUACAACGAAUUUGUCAAAGGCCUGUGGAGCUGGUUAUUUUGAGGCCUUGGGAAUAUUACACUAAUGGUUCUUGUGCUAGAUAGACCUAAGUCCCUGAGCAGCCUUCCUAUUAAGUAUGGUAUUGAGGGAAUUUGAGGGCGUUCUUCUCUAUUGUUCAGUCAUCAAUUGAAUAUUUUAUCGAAUGGAGUUCUUGUUGUUGGAUGUAAGCAUGGGGAAGGCAACCUUCUUGCGCAUUUAGUAAUAAUAUCAACAGGUAGUAGUGUUAUUUCGUCCAUGUUUUCUAUUAGAUUUCUCUUGUGCUGAAUCAUUUAACAAGUCUAUGCGCAGUGAUCGACUGUGAAAGCUUUAUGUUUCCAGAGUUUGGUCCUUGAAUAUGACUUUAGCAUCACAGAGCUGUUUGAUGAUCUUUAAGUGGGCUGGGACUUUGCAGAGCAAUUCAGCUUUUGCAACAUGAUGCCUCAUUUCUCAUGAUUAGCAAAUGUUGUCUCCUUCCGAUGAUCGUAAGAAGAAUCUGGUGAAUUGUGGUGUUUCCUUCCAAUAUCUCUAACAGGCUUGGGUGCAAUUGUUUGAUGAAGAUGGGUGAUCAUAGUAGCCGAAGAUUUUGCCACUGGAGAAAAAGAACUCACACUUUCUUUGCUCUGGAAUAUGUUUAUUCAUUUCCAGGAAAUUAGUGGACUGGAAAGUAUCGGCUCAAGAUUGGCGGUUUUACAUCUUUGAUUGAUGGUUAAUCUCUGUGGUGCUUGAUUGACUACUAAUUCCGGAAUGAACUGCAUUCUGCUUGUUCUGGCAAUCAGUGGAAAGUAUCGGCUCAAGAUUGGCAGUUUUACAUCUUUGAUUGAUGGUUAAUCUCUGUGGAGCUUGAUUUACCAUUAUUUCCGGAAUGAACUGCAUUCUGCUUGUUCUUGUGAGGAUUCUCAAAACGAUUCUGAUGAAGUAUCUGUUCUGUGGAUUGGCAUGAGUACAGAUUAUGUUCACAACUUCACUUUGACCCGGAAACUUACAUCAGUGCUAGGAAACUUCAAGAGGUAAGUAGUUUAUUUGUAAUACACUGACGAUUAUGUGUCUGCGGCCUGUCAUGUACUACACUUUAUUUUAACCUGGUAUUGCAAUUCAACGAGGUACCUGAACAUAAUGGUGCUUGUAAUGAAAGGAAUGUAAUAAUUUUUGUUGG